UUCUGACGGGCCGCGCGUUCUCCUCCCGAGAGACGUGCAUUACGCGCCUCGGUUGGCCGCAUUUCCGGCACUUCUCUUGGCAACAGCGCGUUUGCACGGCGCUGUAGUACCUUCGUUAGCUCAGCUUCGUGUUUACUCCUCCGAUACCUCGCUAAUGCAUCGCGAAGCGUCCACGGGAGACGCUUCCGGACAUUUUCUCUGCGGUACCGUCGACGGCUAUUCAGACGGGGACAGGAGCGGAGGCUGCCCGGCGUGCGAGGAAAGUGUACCGAAUGCGUCUGUACCGGCAGAGACGGUGUCUCCCUGAAGAGCUACGCUCUGGAGCACAUGGAAAUGCAAAGUCACCGGUACAUCACGGACUGUGUGCCGGCGACAGCUGCGACGGACACCGGCGGUGGGCAGCACCGCCAACCAAAACGGCUAUCGGAAUGAGCCCACGAAAGCCUGCGCUGCAAAAAGGCGACUGUGGCCUAAUGGUCCGAUCGUCGGGCUGCUGUGCUGCGGGACCAAGGUUACAUCCCAC